rnacentral:lncRNA from 1 species
ACGGACCGACACAUCAGCUCCGACCCAUACAUAGGGUUCCAAUCUCAUCAUCAAUAUUUUUAAAAGCCAUCAAUCCAUUCUUAGGCUACUGACCUUAGCAUUGGUGUCUGACCCCAUCUCCAGGAGUGUCAGUUUGCCGAUCUACAUCUUGACCACCACCCUCAUCACUAGUGGUCUCCAUACAUUAGACACCAAUCCAGAUUUUGGGUUCCAACCUCCACAUCGCUCCGACUCUGAUGUUUACUGCCGAUCUUCAUCUCCAAUAGUAUAUAUGACG